GUGGGGAAUAUUGGGCAAUGGGGGCAACCCUGACCCAGCGACGCCGCGUGGGGGAAGACGGCCUUCGGGUUGUAAACCUCUUUUGUACGGGAAGAAGGAAGUGACGGUACUGUACGAAUAAGUCCCGGCUAACUACGUGCCAGCAGCCGCGGUAAUACGUAGGGGACGAGCGUUGUCCGGAAUUACUGGGCGUAAAGGGCGCGCAGGCUGUGCUGCAAGUCAGCUGUUAAAUGUCUGGGCUUAACCCGGGCAUGCGGUUGAGACUGCGGUGCUGGAGUGCUGUAGAGGCAAGUGGAAUUCCCAGUGUAGCGGUGAAAUGCGUAGAUAUUGGGAAGAACACCGGUGGCGAAGGCGACUUGCUGGGCAGCAACUGACGCUGAGGCGCGAAAGCCAGGGGAGCAAACGGGAUUAGAAACCCUAGUAGUCC
rnacentral:rRNA from 1 species